UUUUUUUUUUUUUUUUUUUGAGACACAGUCUUACUCUGUUGCCCAGGCUGGAAGUGCAGUGGUAUAAUCUUGGCCCACUGCAAUCUCUGCCUCCCAGGUUCAAGUGAUUCUUGUGCCCUCAUUGUACCGAGUAGCUGGAACUACACACAUGCACCACCACGACUGGCUAAUUUUUGUAUUUUUAGUAGAAGGGGGGUUUCAUCAUGUUGGCCAGGCUGGUCUCGAACUCUUGGGACCUCAGGUGAUCCACCUGCCUCGGCCUCCCAAAGUGCUGUGAUUACUGGUGUGAGCCACCGUGCCCAACCGUCCUUUCAUAGACUUUGAAUUCCAAACACCACAUUUUCUCAAUGUCUUAAGCCCGGCCUUACUGAGUUAACCCCUUUCUGUACUUUCCUAAUAACGUUAAUACUUUUCAAAUACUUUUAAAUAAUUUUAGUUUCAACACAGUCUGUGAGAUGUUGUUUUGGCAGUUAGUUUACCCCCAGUUUAAGGCUUGGGUUCCUGGAUGGUUUACCUAAGUCCCACACUCAUAAAUAAGGACAGAGCCAGGACUGAAACUCUGGCCUCUUGGCCUUCUGUCCAGGGUCUGAUAUAUUGGAGGACCGCAUCAAUUAGGACUGGGUCCAGAUGGCCCUCUGAAACUGAAGCGUGAGUGUGAUGGCUCAACUGAAUAGAGUUUCACUGUUCUCCUAUAACAGAAGGUUUUUUGGGGGAAGCCACUCAAGGCUGAUGGCAGCUCCACAGUGCAAUCAGGUUACAGGCUUGUUCUAGAUUUCUCUUCUGUUACACUUAGCAUGUGGCAUUUAUCUUGUGGCGUCAAGAUGGUUUCUACUUCUGCACUCCAGCUCUGUGCCCAGGGAGAAGGGAGAAGGGCAAAUAACACAUCAGCUGCUUUUCCUUUAAGAAACCUUCUCAGAAGCCUUAGCCUGUGACUCCAUGUGCAUCUCACUGGCUGACCUUUGUAACAUGGUCAACCCUAGCUGCAAGGGAGUCAGGGAAGCCGAGCUCAUUGGUACCCUGAGGGACAUGUGAGCUGUUCUGAGGGAAAUAG
rnacentral:lncRNA from 1 species